rnacentral:tRNA from 1 species
GCCGGGGUAGCCAAGUGGUUAAGGCGCCGACCUGCUAAGUCGGUGGGCUUAUGCCCGCGUGGGUUCAAAUCCCACCCCCGGCG